rnacentral:lncRNA from 1 species
UCGUUUCCCAAAGGACUCUUAGGCCUUAACUUUCGUGUAAACCAAUCACAUAAGACUUGAGGAAAGAAUUAAAUUUAGGUUUUGAAUGCAAAGAACAAAAGUAAACAUGCAAAAUGCAGUGAAUCAAUUGGCUAGAAAAGACUAAGGAUGAAUGGAGUUGUUGGGGUUUACAAUUUCAUCUAUCCACCCUCUUAUAUCUACUCUUCUUAUCUUCUUAGCUUAUUUAUCAUAUUGUCAUGCAAACUUUCUUAGUCAACCCUAAACCCAAUCUGUUAGCGAAAAGAGCCUAUUACUAAUUACUGGCUUGCUAUCUCUAGCCUCCCCUAGUAACCAAUGAUGCUUGAAAAACGGAAACAAAAUACAAUUGAUCGUCCUACCCCUAUCUCUAGGUGGUAUUAGCAUAAUCAAGGAAUUCCCC